CAGGGCUUUGCAAGAGAAGGAAACAAGCAUGAGGACAUAACACAAUAUGCUGCUAGAGAGAAAAGCAGAGGGGAGAUUAUAAGACAUUGUGUGUCAAGACCAAAGAGGAUGGGCAUUAGCCAAGACCAGUGGAAAAUUCCUGGGAGAUUCAAGCAGGGCAGUGCCAUUGUGUUUCAGGAAAAUCUCUUGGCCUUUGUGGUUUGCAGGAGGUCAGAGUUGCCUACAAGGAGAAUGGGUGUUCCAGUCUUCCAGGCAAGAAAAGAUGACAGUCAUAACCAGGAGGUCACUGCAGGAGAAUGGGAGGAGGGCUGAGAAGUACCUUGGAGAUGGAGCCAAGAGAACUUGGUCCUGAAGAAAAGAGAUGGUGUCAGCAUAGAUGAAAUGAAAGGAACCCUUUCAGGCAUGAAGGGAAAGCUAACCAAGAGCUCACUCUGUGGAAGCUAAACAGUUAAUUCGCAAGAGGAAGCUGCUAAUCAAAUGAACAAGUGUGAAGUGAAAAUGCCAACCCCAGUGAAGACGCAGCCAAAGCUGGCAAAGGCAAAUGGAGAAAACGCAGGCAGCAUCAGUGAGCUGUUCCUGGAAAUGGAGUCUAACUACAUUAACGCAUUCAGACAGAGGGAAACAGAUGGUCGGUGUGAUGUCCUCAGUCACUUCACAAGCUGGAUAAAUAAUUGUUGCCAGGGAAGGAAUAAUAAAAGCAGGAUUUUGCCAACAUGAGCUGUUGCCCUGGCCUUUGGUUCCGGGAGUGCUUCUGGAGGUUUUUCCAACAGAUUUUUCAAGGAAGCAAAAAAGACAGCAAAUUACUAAGAAUGAAAUUCACUUUUUAAUUUUUCCCACUGAGUCUUCGUCAACGGAUAAUCCCUACCUAUCAAGACAUAUGACAGUUCUCUCUCAUUUCAAUGUUGUAUGCAUAAAAAGGUAAGAAACUUAAUGAAAAUUUUAUUCUAGACACUUCAAGAAGAUAAUCUGACAUUGAUGGGCUACAUUGAUGAAGUGAAGGGAACCCAGAUCUCGGGAGGUUUUUGCAGUCGUUCAGCAGCAAAUUCAGAACCUUCAUGUGAAAUGGAAUUGUAAAGGACUCUGGCUGCAACGCUAUUUGUUGAUAAAGCAAAAAUUGAUUUUCAACAGAAGUUAGAAUGAGGAAAGUCAAAUUUGGAGGACAGUGUAAAACCUCUAACAUUUUCAUGAGCUUUGAAGGUAGACUCUGCUGUUCAGAGAUUGCUCAAGACUAAACUGGUCCCUGCCGAGGUAUCUAUGGACUGUUCUGGAAGGAAAGGUACAAGGAGCUGACAUGAACCUGAUUUUUAACCUGAAGCAGACAGAGUUGGGACCAGCUGGCCUGCAGUCCUGUGAGCAAGAAAUCGAUGUGCAUACUCAUGAGUAAACCAUAAACAUUUGCUGUUAUAACCCAGGAAGCUUUGGGAGUUGAUUUUUAUGUGGUGUUAUGGCAACAAUUGUUGAUGAAUGUGGGUAUACAGUAUUGGAAGUUCUCAUGUGUCUUUGAUGGCCAGCCUCUCAGUGCUUACAGAGCUCCUCAGCCUCACCAGAUAUUUCCCACUUGAAUAAUGAAGUUGUAUGGUUGGGAAUAGACAUUUUGGCUAUUUGGGUCAAUAGGUUUAGGACCUUUGGAGGAUUCAAGACUGGUAGAAAACCACAGCAUGGUCUAAGAUGCAGGUGUUCAUGCCUGCAGGUAAGUAGAUGCAUCAUUAACUUCAAUAAUAAUAAAUAAAAUUUAAAGAGAUUUUUCGAUUAUCAUAAACUGAAUGAACUAAAAUUAACUUUCUAACAAAUAGCCACAAAUUUCUAGCGUGUUUAUCUUUCCCAUAUGUUUCCCAGCUCUGCUAAGUUGGAAGCCUCAAAACCAUCAACCAAUAAAUCAUUCCUUGGGUUUCACUUUGGGGACCAAUUAAAACUAUCAACAUGUUUUCUUCCAUUACACUGGGAGUUUUAUCUCCAGCUGUUGGGAUCUGAGCUUCUAAAAGUAUGAAGCAUGACUACCCAGGGAAAAGGCACGUGAGACAAUUGGAGGAAAAUAGACUCUAUUGAAAGCUAGUUUAUGUAAGCUUAGUGCUUCCACCCUCCUCACUUCAUUCAGAAGGCACAAGCUUUACUAAACAUGUGGUAAAUAAUACAGCUGGCACCACAGCAGGAAAGGUGCUGCCCCUAAACCUGGAGGGAGAGCUCCUGGCAGAUAAUCCAAGGGCUGGUAAUUUAUCACUUAUGCAAACACAGCACCUCUUGUGGGUCUCCUUUUACAUCUCCUGUUCUGUGAAACUUUCCACUGAAGACUUGGAUAAAUGUUUUCCAGAUGGUAUCAAUCAUGGAGUUACCUACUAAUAGGAAUCAAGGAAAAGUCAUUGAAUUAAUUAGCAAGUCAAACAGGAAAGGAAGAAGGACUGUGCUUGAAAGUAGAAAAAGAAGAGACCACUUGGAAUUAUCUAAUCAUCUAGAAACAAGGUCAUUCAGGAAAAGGGGGCUUGAUUAAGCAUCAGGAAACCUGAGACCUGGCCAACAGCCUGGUUCCUCCAAAUCACAGGCUUUGGAGUCUAACAGAUAGAGGUUAGAAUCUCAGCUCAGUCUCUAACUAUGCAUAGUGGGCAAGAUUCUUGGCCUCUCUGAGCCUCUGUUUCCUCAUAUGCUAAGGGAAAAAAGGAUGAAAUAUGCAAACUAUGUAAUACCAUUUUACAGACUUAGAUGUGUAGCAUGUGAAGCACUUAGCAAAGUGGCUACCAAUAGGCGGCACUUAAAAAAAAAAUUCUUUACUCUCACCUGUGAUCAGUUAAAUGAUUGGAAAACUAUUCACCCCUGUCUGAAACUACACCAUUGCCAUGAUCACAUCUUGAGCAGAGUGCACUUUCCCACUCCUUGCUUUGGGCUGACUACAUGAUUUGCUUAGACCAAGCAAUGUGGGUGGAAGUGACAAUGGGCUCGUUUUUAGACCAGGACUUAAGAGGCAUUAUGUUUCUACUUGCCCUUUGCACCUCCCCCAUCACCACAAGAAAAAUAUACCCAGGCUGUCUUGCUGGUCCAAGAAGGAGGAUAAAAGACACGAGAAGCAAAGCUGCCAACCCCAGGAAGCAAAGCUUCCAAACCCCUCCCAACACGAAGACAUGCGAGUGAUAAUAAAUAAUGGUUGUUUUUAGCCACUGAGUUUUGACGUGGAUUAAUUUCAGCUGCUGUAUCUCACAGAUUAUGUUAUCUCACAUUCCUUCUCUGGGUUCUAAUUGCAUAUCUGCUCAGGACUUACUAAAUGAAUAUCUUUUACAAUGCUGAUAUUAGAGGUAAGGCCCAGAAAAUGGCAAGCUAAAGAUGUCCCAGAAACUUCUACCGUAUAGUUGGCUUAAAUCUUAAACUCCAAACUUAGAUGUGUAAGAAAAGUAAUUUAACUUGGUUAUGACAAGACCUUUUUAUUUUUUAACAGUUUUAUUACAAAUCCCCUAUUUUGCUGGUUAGCAGAAACAUCUCUCAGUCAAUUCAGGGUUUCUCCUCCCUUAAGGAUUGGGUUUAACUUUAGGAGGCUCUGCAUGAUGAGGAGGUGGAAGGUGUUGGGAGGGAGAACCAGGGCACUGUCGUUCCUGUUGUUGAUCUCUGCAGUGCUCUCUCUUGGUCUACGUAAGUGAGGAUCUAAAAUCUGAUUCAUUCUUGGGUAAUCUUCUUUUAGAAGCCCAUGAUUAGACCCAACUGGAGGAAGUUUGGAGCUUCUCUCAGACAUGUAAGAAUUGUUCUGAAGAAUCUGCAUCUUGUUGGGUGAAGGACUUCAGAAUGUGCAAUAAAAAUGCAAUAGUCUUGGACCUAUGUAACUGGAAGGAACUGGUGGACAAGCUCUUACUGCUUCUCCAGGUUCUCACAAGAAAGCAGGCAUGGAUUCCUUUUGCACAGCUCCUCCAGGCUUUCUGGGCCCUGUCAUUCCUUCUUCUAUCUUCUGGGUUGAGCAACAUGCAAUCUCCCCUUGUGCAGAAGCCCAAAUAGCUACUGAAAAUGUGUCCUCUCUGACUUUCCCCAUUUCUUGAACUCUGAGAGACUUUUUCUAGUAUCAGUUCUGAGGAGCAUUGCUGUUUUCCUUCCUAUCAUCUGGAAGACCUAGACUUUAAAACUCAAAACCUGAGAAAAACUUCCUUUUUUUUCUCUCUUUUGUCUGGAUCAUCACUACCUUGAAAUACUAAAUUAGCAAAGUCCUAACUAGAAACUGAAUUGGCUAAAGAGUCAAGGAGCAACAGGUAAUUCCAAGAAAAACAACAGCAAACUUACAUCAGUUAACAUUUCAAAGCUAUUUUCCUUUGCAAUUUUGUGUAUCUGUUUUUAUGGAAUGCAAGAGAUAAUAGGCUAAAUGCUAUUUUGCAUAUGUGUUACAUUGGAUUUCUCACAUAUUCUACUACUUAACUCAAGAUGUUGAGUAAAUAAAUGAGUUAAUAAACUGGAAUUUCUAUAUCAGCUCUUGGUUCUAGUUAUGUUUCGUUUGUUUUGGAUUUUUUUUCUUUUUGAAUGCUUAUUCACUGGCCCAGCUGUAUUUAUGCCUAGAUUAACCAGAUACAUUGCCA
rnacentral:lncRNA from 10 species